rnacentral:rRNA from 1 species
GGGAGUGAAAUAGAACCUGAAACCCUGCACUUACAAGCUGUGGAAGCACAUUUCUUGUGUGACCGCGUACUUUUUGUAGAACGGGCCAACGAGUUACGUUAAGUAGCAAGGUUAAGCACUUAAGGUGCGGAGCCGUAGCGAAAGCGAGUUUUAACUGAGCGUUCAGUUACUUGACGUAGACCCGAAACCGGGCGACCUACCCAUGAGCAGGAUGAAGCGAAAGUAAAAGUUCGUGGAGGUCCGAACCCACGAGCGUUGAAAAGCUCGGGGAUGACUUGUGGGUAGCGGUGAAAUUCCAAUCGAGCCCGGAGAUAGCUGGUUCUCCCCGAAAUAGCUUUAGGGCUAGCCUCAAGGUGAGAGAUACGGAGGUAGAGCACUGAAUGUCCUAGGGGGUAUUGCACCUA